rnacentral:tRNA from 1 species
GGAGCCGUGGCUCAGCAGCACAGCAUCUGCUUGGCAUGCCGAAGGUCGUAGGUUCAGUUCCUGUCAACUCCA